CCCAGUUCUACCACUUCCUGACUGUAUGACUUUGUAUAACUCCUUUAGCCUCUUUGAGCGUCAGCUUCUCCAUUUAUAAACCUGUUUUAGUUACUUUCCUGUCUCAGUGUGUUUGUUCUUAUAGUUAUUUCUACUUGGAACACUCCCUCUAGAUAUUUAUAGCACCUGUUUUUAGUGCCCUUGCCUGUUUCAUUCUCCCAGCCUAAGUUUCCGUAUCUGUCUGAAGAAGGGGUGGUUUGGUGUUGAUCUCCGAGACCCGUGUGUCUCUUCCCAUGUGGAAUUAUUGUCACUCUCUUAUUGCUUGUUUUUCUUUGUCCUGGAAAAUUUGCCUUUAGAGGUUACAGACUGGUUAGUGUUAUCUCU
rnacentral:lncRNA from 1 species